rnacentral:ncRNA from 1 species
CUUUUAAAAACUUUUAUUUAGGCUCAGAGGUAUAUGUGAAGACUUGUUACAUGAGCCUCGAAAGUGACUUUAAUAUCCUGAAAACAUAUAGCUAAGACCCAAACUGGGAUUAGAUACCCCCCUAUGCUUAGCCGUAAACCCCGCUAUGCUUAGCCGUAAACCCAAAUAGUUAAAUUAAGAAAAUUACUCGCCAGAGUACCACAGGCAACAGCUUAAAACUCAAAGGACUUGGCAGUGCUUUAUAUCCCUCUAGAAGAGCCUGUUCUAUAAUCGAUAAACCCCAAUAUACCUCGCCAUCUCUCGCCACUCAGCCUACAUACCGCCAUCUUCAGCAAACAUUAAAAAGGCCUUAGAGUAAGCACAAGUAUGUACAUAAAAACAUUAGGUCAAGGUGUUGCCUAUGAAAUGGUAAGAAAAGGGCUACAUUUUCUAUUUCCCAGAAAAUUUUACAAUAACCAUAAUGAAACCCAAAGGUUCAAGGAGGAUUUAGCAGUAAAUGAAGAACAGAGUGCUUGAUUGAAUGAGGCCGUGAAGCACACACACACCACCCAUCACCCUCUCAAAUACUAGUCUAGAGACCACUAUUACUAAUAAUUUUCCUACACAUAUAAAGAGGAGAUAAGUUGUAACAUGGUAAGCGUACUGGAAAGUGCUCUUGGACUAACCAAAGU